GUGCUGUGGCUCAACCAAUUUGCAGUCCUCCUCUGGAAAAAUUUCACUUUAAAUAGGCGUCAGAUCAUUGUUUUAAUUGUGGAAAUCUUGUUGGUAUAUCUAUUUUUGACAUUGAUUUUGUUUAGCCGUGAUAAUUCAAAAAGGACUCCUCAAGGAGCCAGUCAUUUUUCUCCUCUUCCCAUGGACCAACAGCCUGAUUUCUUUCAGGAUACUUCAGUUACAUAUGAAUUGGUUUACGUGCCUUCUGGGAGUGAAGUUGCAAAAAGUCUUACUCGGAUGGUGAAAACGUAUUUAAAUUCCACUUUCAAAGGUUAGAAAAUAAUAGGUUUUCUAUAGAAUAUAUUACUAAAUUGUUUUAAUAAUAUAAAACAAUUGGAGGAGGCAAUCUUCAGUGACCUUCAUAACCAUGCAUUAAUCUUCUAGAUAUAACAAUUUGGACUUUGUCAAAUAAUAUCAAAUAUAUUCUUCAGAUAAUCAUAAAUUAAUUGUGACAGUUAAAAUUAUAUUCUGAGUGUUUUUUGCCUCUGAUUGUGUACUUCUUUUUUAAUAUAUAUUUUAUAUUAGAGAAGUUGUGAGCUUACAAAGCAAUUAUACAUAAUGUGCAGAAUUCUUAUACAUCACC
rnacentral:lncRNA from 1 species